CAUCAGGUGCAAUUUGACCCCCAUGGUCGAAAGGUAGUGGCAGUAGGGCGUGACAUCUCUGACAGAUUAUUGACCACAAGUGGGACAUGUACUGAUUCACGUGGAUCUCUAUAUAGUCGGUAUCUUAUGUUCUCUACAUGUAAAUUAUCUGAGGUUAUGCAGGGCGGUGCACUUUAUGAUUUUUAUGGGAACUUUUUUGGCAUCAACCUCUUCUGGGAUAUGGAAAGAACAAUUUUCUUGCCAAGGAGUAUAAUUCUCGAACGUGUGGUGCAUUUUCGUACAUCCUUGAAAAAGAGUGUAUUUCUAAACCUGGUGAAGCCAGUCAGGGAUAAAAAAAGACAAAUAAGACGCAUAGGUGUGAAACUUCUCCCUCGUCCUGAAGGUGAGUACACAACCACUUGACAUUGGUUAUCAGAU